UACGGAGGGGGCUAGCGUUGUUCGGAAUUACUGGGCGUAAAGCGCACGUAGGCGGCUUUGUAAGUUAGAGGUGAAAGCCCGGGGCUCAACUCCGGAAUUGCCUUUAAGACUGCAUCGCUAGAAUUGUGGAGAGGUAAGUGGAAUUCCGAGUGUAGAGGUGAAAUUCGUAGAUAUUCGGAAGAACACCAGUGGCGAAGGCGACUGACUGGACAUGUAUUGACGCUGAGGUGCGAAAAGCGUGGGGAGCAAACAGG
rnacentral:rRNA from 1 species